UUUUUUUUUUUUUUUUUUUUUUUUUGGCUUUCCUCCCUUCCUUGUCGCAUUUUCCUCAUUCUUUCUUCUUGGAUUAUCUCCCAGAAAGACUUCCUCCACCCAAGUUUUUAUCUAAGGGUGUGCUUUGGAGAGAGACCAAACUAUGACAUUAUUACAUAUAAUAAAGUAGUUGCACCAGCAAUGUUUAGACUCUCUCUUCUUCCUGGAUCUUUGGGAGCAAUUAAGCCCAUAAGAAAUCAGACACUCACCCCAAUUCUGAUGUAACAGCCUUGGGAGAGGUUGCAGUGAAAAGCUGGUCCUGCUGUGGUGGAGAGAAUGGAGAAAACAUAAUAAAAGGCUAAACCUUUGCUCAAACUUUCUCCUCAGCUUCUCGUUGGAUCUGGAAAGCUGGGGACCCACAGGGCAGAGCCAUGGUACUGGAGGAGCCAUUAACAAGUAAGUUCCAAAUAAAUCACCUCCCGCCCGAGGCAACACGUGUUGAGAUCUGCAUGUGUCUUCUAUCCUUCUAUUCUGAGGCUGGCCUGUGCACUUGAUAUAUGGUUUCUUUUUCCUUUCUUUUCUUUUUCUUUUUUAAGUGUCAGUGUUAAAAAGGUGAUUAUUCAAUUGAACCAUGAAGGUGGAUGGAGAGAACUGUAAGAGUCUGCAAACUGUUGAAGUGCACCCAAAGGAGUCAUUGUGAAGCAGAGGAGUAAAGAGUGUUCCUCACAGAGGGAGCAGCCUGUGCAGGAUCCUUGGGGUGGGGGACACAGCUGGGCACACUGAAGCACAGAGAGAAGCCCACACAGGCGGGGCGGAGAAGAGAAGCAGAGAAGAGUGGAGAUGAGGCUACAAAGAUGGACUGCAGGCAGCUCACUGGGGGUGUAUAGACCCUCUCAGUUUAUAAGUUACGCACUCAAGAAGUUUACCUUUGGCUGGGCGCAGUGGCUCACGCCUAUAAUCCCAGUACUUUGGAAGGCCGAGGCAGGCGGUGGAGAUUUGAACAUAUUUAAAUGCUGACGAGCAGAACCAGUAGGGGGAGGGGUUGAAGAUUUGGGGAAAAGGUGAUGAUAAUGGAGCAAGGCCUCUCCCUGACCCCACACCACCCCAUACACACCCAGAAGACAGGAGGGAGCUGAGAUUCAGAGCCAAGGGAAAGGAACUGACCUUGGAUUACAAGAUGGGCCUCGGCUAUAAUGAGAUGAAAAUGGGCAGAGAUGCAGAUAGGUUCGUAUGUGACAAGCCGUUAAGGGAAGGCCUGCACAGUGGUUUUGAUUUUCUCUGAAAUGGAGUCAAAGUUAUCUGCUAAAACUGAAGGUUUACGUGAAAGGCAGGCAUUUCAAGAGAAUGGACACAGUUUGAAGCAGGUGACGUAACCAUGUGUUAAGGUUUCUUAAGAAGGUCCUCAUGUAAGCCUGUUAUCCUGCCCUAAUUAUUAAUAGUGCCCCCUUUCACUCUCAGAAAGUGCUCUAGUUUGGAGGAUAAGUUAUGGUUACCCUAGAGCAGAAGCAAAAUCUUCCUAAAGGAAUCAUACCGAAACAGCUAAACUUUAAGAGUUCAAGGUGGCCCUUACCUUUUUCAGUCAACAACUUGCCCUAAAGAUUUAGAAGGAGACGGUGGGUGGGCAGUGUGGAAGAGCAUGCCUCUGGAACCAAACUACUUGGGUUCCUUUGUCUGCAGGAUGGGAUACUCACAAUACCCGCUUUAUAGGGUGGUUGUGAAAAUCAGAUGAACUAAUGGCAGAAACCAUUCGGUGUGGAGUUGGCUCAUGGUAAGGGCUCAAUGAAUGUGAGUCAUGGUUAUUACUGAAGGUUGGUUAAGCAUAAAGACAGUGGGCUUUGGCAUUAGGAA
ensembl:lncRNA